rnacentral:rRNA from 1 species
UCCUACGGGGAGCAGCAGUGAGGAAUAUUGGUCAAUGGUCGGGAGACUGAACCAGCCAAGCCGCGUGAGGGAUGAAGGUACAGAGUAUCGUAAACCUCUUUUGUCGGGGAACAAAGGCGGGGACGUGUCCCCGGAUGAGUGUACCUGAAGAAAAAGCAUCGGCUAACUCCGUGCCAGCAGCCGCGGUAAUACGGAGGAUGCGAGCGUUAUCCGGAUUUAUUGGGUUUAAAGGGUGCGCAGGCGGUCUGUUAAGUCAGCGGUCAAAGCCCGGGGCUCAACCCCGGCCCGCCGUUGAAACUGGCAGG